AUUGAACGCUGGCGGCAUGCUUUACACAUGCAAGUCGAACGGUAACAGGCCGCAAGGUGCUGACGAGUGGCGAACGGGUGAGUAAUGCAUCGGAACGUGCCCAGUCGUGGGGGAUAACUACUCGAAAGAGUAGCUAAUACCGCAUACGAUCUAUGGAUGAAAGCGGGGGACCGUAAGGCCUCGCGCGAUUGGAGCGGCCGAUGUCAGAUUAGGUAGUUGGUGGGGUAAAGGCUCACCAAGCCAACGAUCUGUAGCUGGUCUGAGAGGACGACCAGCCACACUGGGACUGAGACACGGCCCAGACUCCUACGGGAGGCAGCAGUGGGGAAUUUUGGACAAUGGGCGCAAGCCUGAUCCAGCAAUGCCGCGUGCAGGAAGAAGGCCUUCGGGUUGUAAACUGCUUUUGUACGGAACGAAACGGCUCUGGUUAAUACCCGGGGCUAAUGACGGUACCGUAAGAAUAAGCACCGGCUAACUACGUC
rnacentral:rRNA from 1 species